UACGAAGGGUGCAAGCGUUACUCGGAAUUACUGGGCGUAAAGCGUGCGUAGGUGGUUUGUUAAGUCUGAUGUGAAAGCCCUGGGCUCAACCUGGGAAUUGCAUUGGAUACUGGCAGGCUAGAGUGCGGUAGAGGAUGGCGGAAUUCCCGGUGUAGCGGUGAAAUGCGCAGAUAUCAGGAGGAACACCGGUGGCGAAGGCGGGUCUCUGGGCCGAAAUUGACGCUGAGGAGCGAAAGCGUGGGGAGCAAACAGG
rnacentral:rRNA from 1 species